rnacentral:lncRNA from 1 species
AUGGUAUGUUGGGUAGUGAAGUUGUUGAGAAGUGUUGAUAUCCUUACCUACUUCUAUAUGUGCUUACUCAAGCCUAAAACAAAGAGUUCCUAGAAGCUUGGGUUAUGUUUUGGAGUCUUAUGUGAAAAAGAGUUUUCCAUGGUUUCCUUAUGUCAUGCAUGUUUUAAAUGAAUUCUUGUUAAAUGAGAAAAUGAGUUUUCAUAAAUUUAUGUUCCUCAUGUUGAUGUGCAUCUAUAAUGAUUUGCCUAAAUGUUGCAUGAGUUGACUUAUGAGCAUGUUUAAAAG